GGAUGAAGAACGUAGCGAAAUGCGAUAAGUAAUGUGAAUUGCAGAAUUCAGUGAAUCAUCGAAUCUUUGAACGCACAUUGCGCCCCCUGGUAUUCCGGGGGGCAUGCCUGUCCGAGCGUCAUUACAACCCUCAAGCUCAGCUUGGUGUUGGGCCCCGCCGCCCCGGCGGGCCCUAAAGUCAGUGGCGGUGCCGUCCGGCUCCGAGCGUAGUAAUUCUUCUCGCUCUGGAGGUCCGGUCGUGUGCUCGCCAGCAACCCCCAAUUUUUUUCAGGUUGACCUCGGAUCAGGUAGGGAUACCCGCUGAACUUAAGCAUAUCAAUAAGCGGAGGA
rnacentral:misc_RNA from 1 species